rnacentral:rRNA from 1 species
UAACGACUCUCGGCAACGGAUAUCUCGGCUCUCGCAUCGAUGAAGAACGUAGCGAAAUGCGAUACUUGGUGUGAAUUGCAGAAUCCCGUGAACCAUCGAGUCUUUGAACGCAAGUUGCGCCCGAAGCCAUUAGGCCAAGGGCACGUCUGCUUGGGCGUCUCACA